UUUUUUUUUUUUUUAAUAUGACAAUGCUAUAGACAUUUACAUUUCUCAGAAUGUUCUUGAAAGGGAAAUUAAGAGCAGAGAGAUAUACUGGACAUUUAGUAUUCUCUGACAGUGGAAGCAUUACCAAAGAAACUUGGGUUUGAAAGGGUCAGUGUUACUGCCUUUCUAUAUUUUAUAUGGAACAGAUUCCUAAAAAGAAGGGGAAAAAAACCCCAAAGCAAGCAAAUACAGGAAAUACAGAGUAAAUUACUUAAGCACACACCAUAUUGAGCAUAUUCCAGUUAAGAACAUCAUCAGUGUAGAGGCAACUUUCUCACACCACAAGUCUCCAAAGGCAGGCUGCCCCAGGCAGACAGAAAGGAGACAGGGCUGGAAGAGGAGCACUGGCAAGUGGCUUGUUCAAAGCUGCUCACAGCUGCUCCCCAUCCAGUGGGCCAGACUCUGCUGCUGCAGCGGGUGCCCCAUGCCAAGCUCUGGCAUUUCAUCUCCAGAUGUCUGUGCUGGGCAGGGCUGGGAUUCUCACUCCCUCUGAUGGGCUGAAACCUGGGGAGCAGGGCUACCACAGGAGCUCCUUCAUCAGCUGCUUCCACUUUAAUCAAACCUCUCUUAUGCGCCUGGACAGUAGCUUUUUACCCUAGCUGGCCUCUGGCAAGCUCACAAGUACUAAGAUAAAUGUGGUGGUGUGUUUUUUCUUUAAUUUAGCAUUUGUUAAGUGUCUGUUCACCCCCCACUAAUCUCCUCCUCUCCCCAAUUGUCAAUCUUCCCAAGCUCUUCCCUAACCCCCUCCUCUCCAGGUUGUCAAUCCUCCCUUUCCCUUGCCCGUUUCCCUAGAAUACUCCCUGUCAUUCCUCCAAGCCUCCUACCCACUUCCAGAGCAUUCCCUGUCCAUUUAGUGAGGCUCACACCCUAUUGGUUACUUUGUGUUAUUCCACUCCCCUGUUUCCCCUGAUAGGUUUGUGAUGUGUUAGUCCCUCCUUAGACUCCUCCCCUGCUCUACCCUCAUUGGUUGCUGUUCCUACACUCCUCCUCCUGAGUUCCUGUAUAAAACCUUUGUUCACCUUCUCCAGAGGGUCUUGGGGCUCACUGAAUAAAACCAUCUUGUUCACCCCCAAGUCCUGUGUUGCCUCCCUCUGUCCCCGCGCCGACAACUGGGACUGCAGAGCUCACAGGGGGAUCGGCCGCCCAUUCUAUUCUCUAUUCCCUCGCCGCCCAGCAUGCCACUGCUCGGGGUGUCGCGGUGAGAGGAGCUGCCCGCGAUACAACAGAUAAACUCAUCAGUUAUCUUAAACGGGUGAAGUGGUAAACAGAAUUAUUGGAUUGAGCAUUAGUAAUUUCUUGUAAUGUCAACAUUUUCUCUUGCAGCUUCUGGCUAGGAUUGAGCUUUUCUUUACAGCUUAUCUUCCUUGGAGUCAAAACAUCAGCUGAUAAUGAUUUUUGCUAUUAGGAGUUGGACAAAAAUAAAGUUACAGAUUAAACUAACAACACAGCAGGAUGCCACAGUUCAAGUCACAUUUUACCUGCUGCUGAGUCCAGCUCCUUCCCUAUAUUAACUGGGGCAGCUGCAUGGAUCUUGAGUGGUUUCACAAUACAGGUCAGCACUGCCCACUGCAGGGACACGCUGGUAUCUGAACUACUUUUAAAUAAAAGUAUAGGUUGGAGAAACCACACUGCUGCCUUCAAAGAGUGUUCCACAUUAAUUUUACUCAAGACUACUGAUGCAAAGCACAGUGCUACUGCAACCAGUUUGCUUCCAGGACUCGGCCCUUCUCAUUUACAGCUCAUCGUCAAUGAUUUUUUUUGCCACACGAGAAUAUGGCCUGGGGAGCCACAUUUACAGAGCACCAUCGCUUGCUCUCUAUCUUAGGCGUAAAGGAUAUAUUAAUGGGUUGGACCUAUGGCCCUAGGGACAGAAUUGUGGACUUGCUGCUGGGUGGCUGGGGAGGGGCCCUACCCAGCCCUCCUCCCUACCCUGAAACCAGCCCCAGGGCAGCCCAGGCCAUCAUGGGGAUGAAACUUCUGCAAUGUUGUGUGCUUGUUGGGUUUUUUGGUGGUUUUUUCUGUUUUAAGUCACAGAAAGCUGUUGGGGUUGCAGUGUGUCCCAUCAAUCAGCAUACCACGCAGUGUCUAUAUUAAACAUCCUGCCGAGUCUCACAGCAAGCGUGAAAUUUCCAGUGACACAAGAUAAGAAAAUAUUCAGCAGGCUUUCUUAAACAAUUUAUAUGUUACAGGACUAAAAGGUCAGUGAUCAAAAAUUGUAUUUUAUCUUCCCUGCAUAUAUAUUGCUUGAUGAUUAGGUCAAAAAUGUUACAAAUACAGAUGCAAGUAAAAAAUAUGACUAUGCAUAGUCAGAGAUGGAAAAAUGAGAGGGUUAUACUGCUCAUUUCAGUCCCUGAACAACAGGUUCAGAGAAUGAUUGUGCAUUGCUAGGGAGAGCAGCUUUUUGUCUCUCACAGGUGUUUUCAAUCUUUUGCCUUGCCAUACCUGCAAACCUUGUGUAAUAUUACUUGCAAAAGGCGUAUUUUAUCAAUUCAUGGCCACCUCCAGUGCAAAAAUGCAUGAAUAGCUAGCUCAUACUUCAACUGGCAAUAUUAGACAAUUGCAAGUGAGUCACAUUUCCAUCCUAUUGACUGCUAAGGGGUUUGAUCUUCUCUUCAAAUACUUGCAGGGAUGGGAGGGCCUCAGUAGACCUGAUAAGUCUGGUUGGGUAAUUAGUGCUGAAAGAUCUGAAGAUCAUGUUUCCUGUUUAAUAGGGUAGACGUAGGUUGGACUUUCUGGAAAAAGAAUUCAUCAAAGGAAAGGGCAAAGACCAAAUUCAGACCUUCUGUGUAGGGACUGUGCCUUGUUUCAGCUGAAUGAAGGCAGUGAAGUUUCUUUUAUGUUAAAUUUAAGAAUAGCUUUUAUUUCAGUAAAAAGGAAUGAAAAACAAGAACAAAUUUUUAAUGCACCGGACAGGCAAUAGGGCACAAGGCAUUUCUGGGCAUUUUGCCCAGAUCUGUCAUUGACUUCUUGAUUAUAUCUUGUGGGUCUGUUUUAUGUUUUGAAGGUAAAAGAAAAUAAUUCAGUAAUACAAAUGAUAAGAAAAAGGAGAGGUUUGAUUCACUGCAGUGUGAUCUGUAGGGUCAUGUUGCAGGUUGGGUUAAGAGACCUUCAGUGUAUUUCUGUCCUUAUCUAUAUCUCUCUUGCAUUUUUUCUUUAUUAUAUUCUGGCCUCAAAUCUGCUUUCUUCAGGGCAAAUGCUCUAUCUGGCUGUAUGGGUACAGCAAAGUAGCCAUGCAGGACAGAGACUGUGCUAGCUUUAAAGUGCGUGUCUCAUUACAGUGGACACUCCUACAGGCAAAGACACCACACUUCUCUGAGAGGCAUGAAGGACCAAGCUGAACUGGUGGAGACCCUUUUAAUGUUUUGAUUUAGCUCAGAACCAUGAUGCAAUAUGCAGCAUAGAUGUAGGAAUUUUCUACAGGAUGGUGUAAACAGAGCACUCCAUUCUACAGGGGGACACAGGAAGGGCUGCUUACACUUUAUUGAUCAUUGUCACAACCAGCUCUUCUUGGUGAAUGUGGGGAAUGGACUCUGUAAGAUCACAUGUGUGCACACAGGUGAUCUUACCAGAAAACAGCUAAAGAAAGGGUAUGGAGAGAGAGUGCGUGUGGAAGUCUCGAAAAGGUGAUAAAGGUCUCUUUGGAGACUUGUGUUUCUCUUGAAUCCGAGGAGGCUGAUAAAGUCAGAACAGCAAGAGCUUUUCAGAUUUUCCAAGGCCAUCACCUUGGCAUAGCAAGAGCAUCAGCACCAGGCUUUGUAGCUCAGACCACAGUCAAAGAGAUGGUGACUGCCAUAUGUAGACACAGCACAGUCUACAGGGUUGAUGCAGAGAAGGAAGGGACUUCUGAACACCUUCCUAAAAGCUACUGAUGCAUUACUAUGAACCUCUGCUUCUCAGUGAAUCCAGAGUUGGCCGCCCCACUGCUGCCUUAGCUGGGUAAAAUGAAUGACUGGGAGGGGUAACUGAGGGGACUGUACCAACAAUUACCUGCUGUUAACAGUGACUGCUUUAUUCUCUUAUUAAUAAUUGUGCAACUCAUAAAAUGUGUUCCAAUAAAUGUUGAUGGUAAUCUGUAUUUCCCCCUGACUGGUUGCCUUGUCUGGAAAAUUUACCUCUUUCUCCUCCAUAGCUGGACACAAGCUGACAGUGCAAAGAAGAUUCCAUACUGUCCUUGUAGAUAAUUGGGGAGGCAGGGAUGAUACUCUGGAGCAGGAGGUAGGAGAGAGGAAAGCUUUUACAGGGGCAGAGAAGGAGAGGCCAGAAAGGUACCCCAGGUAUGAGCCCACUGACUUGACCUAGAGGUCACUCAUAACAUCGAGAUACUGAUAGAAAUAAAAUACACACUGUAACAAUAAUAGUGGCAUUAAAUUACCAAACUCCUUAGAUAGAUGGUAGUACAGGCUGUUCUGCCGCUUUGAUUGGGUGCAUAAAGCACACCUAAGUGGAUGGUCAUGUAAAGUUUGCUAAGAAUUCCUGUUCACAGGUGACUUUCUGCAGAGACGGAUCUUUAGAUGGUGUUUAAUUUUUGGAAACAGAACAUUUCAGUUCACAGAAUUUUUAUCUCACUAAUAGAUCUAAUAAGCUUGUGAAUGGAUGGUAAAAUCUUUGCCUUUAUAUUCUCUAGUCUGUUGCUAAGGGCUAUAUGAGUAACAAACUGUUCAUAUAAAAUUUCACAUUUUUCUCACUUAAAUCCCAACAGGAAGAAAAAAAAUCUGCUGACAUUGAUUGAGAUUUUGAAAAAGCUCCUAUGGUUUUGGACACGCCAGGCUACCAGUUUAUAGUCUAGAAACAUUAUCACAGUUUCAUUUCCACAACAAAAAGGCUCCAUUAUUUUCUUCAAGGUUAGACCUUUAACCCUGUCCUUGUUGUUUGGCAUCAGAAAUGCACUGAUGUUGUCAGCCUCUCUAUUAGCAGUCACUUAUCAAGGGUGCCAAAGAAAAAUAAAAGGGCAAGUGUCUAGCAAGUUACUAUAGUUUCUUUUGUGCGCUCAAAAUCUGUAGGCUUCAGGCAUUUAGAAAUGUAAUUAACAUUUGUACAUAUGAUACAUUUUAAAAAUGGGUGAAGUUUUCACACUUGAAUGUUAAAAAUUUCCAUUGUCUGUUACCAGUAAAUUUCAAUGGCUGGUAAUUUUUACUCUACAGAUUUUUAUCAGGCUAUAAUGCUGAUAGGUUGUACUAAGCAGACUAUGCCAAGUUGGAUGGGAGCAUUGAUCUGCUAGAAGGUGGGAAGGCAUUACAGAGGAAUCCAAACAGACUGGAUUCAUGGGCCAAGACCAGCUGCAUGAGGUCCAACAAGUGCUGCACUUGGGUCACAACAACCCCGUGUGUCCUACAGGCUGGGGAACAGUGGUUGGAAAGCUGCCCUUGGAAAAGGACCUGGAGGUGCUGGUCAACAGGGACUGAACAUGAGCCAGUGUGUGCCCAGAUGGCCAAGAAGGCCAAUGGCAUCCUGGCCUGGAUCAGCAACAGUGUGGCCAGCAGAACCUGGGCAGGGAUUGUCCCCCUGUACUCAGCACUGGUGAGGCCAGUGUUGAAUGCUGUGCCCCUCGCUACAAGGACAUUGAAGGGCUGGAGCACAUCCAGAGAAGAGCAACAGAGUUGGGGAAGGGUCUGGAGCACAAGUCUGAUGAGGAUCAGCUGAGGGAGCUGGGGGUGUUCAGCCUGGAGAAAAGGAGGCUCAGGGGAGACCUUACCACUCUCUACAGGUCCCUGAUAGGUAGACAGGUGGAGUUGGUCUCCCCCCAGGCAGCAAGUGACAGGACCAGAUCAUAGUCUCAAACUGUGCCAGGGGAGAUACAGGUUGGAUAUCAGGAUGAAUUUCUUAAUGAAACAGGUUGGUUAGCAUUGAAAUGGGAUGCCCUGGGAGGUGGUGGACUCACCAUCCUUGGAGGUGCUCAAGAAAUGACUGGGUAACAUUUAGUGCCAUGGUGUAGUUGACAAGGUGGUGAUUGCUUGAAGUUUGGACUCAGUCCAAACUUUGGAUUUCAGAAGUCUUUUCCAACCUAAGCGAUUCUGCGAUUUUAUGGACACAGAACAGGAAACAACCAUUUAAAUAUUCAGUGUAAAAUAAAAGGUAUUUUCCCUUCAAAAGUGAAAGAAAAUAAUUUCAAUUAUUGCAGGCUGAUAGGUGGGAGGCAUCUUGCUAAUAUUACAUAUUGCUAAUUCUUUUUUCUUUCACUGCCAUUUUAUACAGUCAUUUAGUCACAAGCUAUGAAAAUGUGUGAAUAAUCCACUUCUGCUAUGCCAAUUUAACACCGCUCCAUAAGCAAAUCAAAUAUGAUCUUAGCAACAUCUGAAAGUACAGUAAAAUUAAUGCAGUGGAGAAUGGAGAGAUCAUGCAGCUAGAGAUCUCACAUGACAGGGUUCUUCCUCUGAAGUACCCCUGUUAAAUUCCAGAACAGAACUAAUUGUUAAUGGAAAAUAUAAUUUUACAGUUGUCCUACAAGGAGUCAAAAGGUUUUAGCAUUAUGGUAUCUGUAGCACGAAUGGUAUAUCACAGGUGACAGCCUGCCUGGCAAACUCACCAGCAAAUCCAACAACUAUUGUAUUAGCCCCUGGUGCCAGCAUUUGCAGGUCAGAGUAAUGUAACACAUCACCAGGAAACCUGCACCUGAGCAUAUUCUGUGGUAGUAACCUGAAUUUCUUUCUCUGAGGCUGGCAGGGCGAUACCUAUGAAAGGUGCUAGUUCACACAGUCCGUAAAAAUGCAGUUGAGGCUUAGUCUCCAGGAGGACAUUAUACCAAUUUGAGCAAUGAGAUUUAGAAAGACACAGAAUUAAGUCAGUACUACUGAAUUUUGUUGAUGUGUCUGUUUAAAGAUUGGUGCCCAAGAGAAAGAAAAAAUGCUGUAACAGAGAAUUUGAAAGUAAACACCUCAGCAUCUUAAUAACUGCAAAAGCCAUUUUUGCUGGAAUGCCAUCAACAUUAUUACUGUAAGAUAGAGGGAAGGACAGUCCUAUAAACAAUACAUAAAAAGACAAAGACACUACUUGUAACACUGCUUAUUUCAGGGCUAAAAUGCUGCCUACACAUUAUUAUUGCCCUAUUUUAAUGUUCCCAGCUGGCUUCUGCAGGGAAAUGCUUACUUUUUCUCAUGAAGGAAUGAGACUCUACCUUCAUCUAAUAUAAUUCAUAUAGGGAAGACAGAAAAACUAUCUCCCUGUUACCUUUUUGCUCCCCAUCUCCCUGGACUGGUGAGACAAAGGUAUACUGAUUGCAGAUCAGUAGCAGUGAUAUGAAACUUUCUGAAAAACAUGGUAAAUAAAUCAAUGUUUAAUCAAAGGGACAUAAUAAAUUCAGUUGAGAAGCUUCACUCCAUUGCAUCUCUCCACAAUCUCUCUAGGCUAUAGGAUGUCUGGUAUAUCUGCUGGUGGGAGGUAUGACCAUCACAACAACAUUAAUGACUGCUCAUGUCAGAGAGAGGAUGAAAGGACAAUGAAAUAAAGAGCUUGAGAGACAAAAAAAAAAAAAAAAAAAAAA
rnacentral:lncRNA from 1 species